UGAUGAAGAUUUAAAAAGUAAUUUAAUGUGUCCGAGCUAAUUUCUUCACCAGUCCUGAGAAAGUUCUCUUCUGAUUUUCUGAUGGUGGUCAUUAUUCCCUCCCAGAUUUUAUGUAACAUACCUCACGUACUCUUUCUCACACCCUCGUGUAGCGCUAUUGACCUCAAAAGGCCUUAAAUCUUCAACAGAAACAGAUAGUUGUCGUGGGGCCCGUUUUAUUUACACAGCUGGCAGAGGGUCGUUUGAGCUGAUGCCAACGUGCUAGGUACGUUUUCCGUGAGCUCCUGAAACUUCACCCGCCAGUGGCAUUAGCUCGAGCUAACAGUUUGUGCGUUUGUGUACGCGGUCGCCAUGGCAGCAGCGCCGGUGACAGACACGCGCGCUCAGCUGCUGUUAGCCGCGCGACAGGAAUGUCCACGAGAGCGCAGUUGUCGGUUUUCAGUUGCCAGCCGCCACCAAGCGGAGCUCCAACUAUUAUAGCGCUCAUACGAGCAUACAUUACAUAAAAUGUAUCAACAAAACAUCCAAAGUCAACAGAACUAAUGGAAGAGAAGGAAAGACACAAAAAAAGAAAAAAGAGAAAGAAAAAAGAAACAAAAAUACAACAAAUCAAGUAUUAAUCAUUGAACAUUAAAGAUCUCAUCAUAUCUCCUCAAAAAAGAAACACAUUUUUUUGUUAUUAAUUAGUCUUAGUGAUUUAAUUAAAUAUUCUACUUCAUAUAAGAAUUCUAUAAAAUUAGGUUUUUUCUUAAGAAAAACUCUACAUCGUUACAUCUAAAUUCUAAUGACUAAUGAAGUUUACAUGGUUUUGGCCAAUGAAACGCUCUCAUACAGCAGGUCAAAGAACAUAUGGGUCAAAGGGCAAUGCCAGCAUGACAUUUUCAUUUAGGCUAUUAUUAAAAUGUAUUUAUAGCCUAAUAGCCUAUGCCUGCAUACAUAAAGAUCUUAAGAUUGAGAAGUUAGGUGGAAUUCAAUAAAUUAAAUAAAAAUUAAAUAAACGGGGUUAUGUAGUUAAAUGGAUGUCUUAUACAGCCAAUUUGAUUAUGUUAAAAUUUAGACUUGCAACUGAACUUGACUAGGUGGAUUUAUAAUUUAGAUUAAUUUAGACCAAUGUUUUAUGUAAACUCAUUAUAUAAAUACAUUUUAAAUGACUUCAGAUAUGCUGACAAAAAAGAGCUAACCAACUUAAAUACUUUGCAUUUAUCUUCAUUUUAGCUUAAUGAAAACGUGGUACCUAUACCAAGGAUAAACACUGUACAUAUAAAUAAAGAUAUAUUAUAUAUUAUUAAAAGUUACACUUUGAAAUAUUUUUACACCAAAAGAUGACAGAAAAAAUCCCAAAAAGACAAAAAAAAAACUUUAUUCAUGGUUGAUUAUCUUCCCGGGUACAAGACUGCCAUAAAUAUUCUCAAGAAUGUAAACAUCUGGUGAAAUCAUGGAAACCAGGCAGCAUGAGCUGCCUGAAGAGGAAUGAAGAGUGUAAGAAAGCCCUCUGAUUAAAUAAAUAACACAGCAGCAGCUCGAAUACGAAGUCCUGUUAUAAUGCUCUAAUGUUAUCAUUUAGAAAUAUUUCACUUUUGUUAUUAUGGGGUAAAUAAUUCUGUCUCAUGGCCAGAGUGCCGAGGAUUAUCCUGAAUAGUUUUAUACAUUCCUCUUCUUUAUAAAAAUAUUAACUGAAUUUGCGCUUAUCAUUCUUAAAUGGAGAAAACGGGGCUGGCCUUAUUGUAAGGACUCUUAUAGUUCACUCUUAAAAAUAAAGGUUCUCUAAUGGCAUUCAUGGAUCCAUUAAGAGCUUUUAACAUCCAUGCAACCUUUUCAUUCCACUUUACAGAGGAUGAAUGUUCUUCACACUAAGAAAAAAAUGGUUCCUGAACUGUUUACUGAAAGAAUCUUUGGGAAGCCAAAAAUUGUUCUUCUGUGAAAUCUUGGCAAAACAAACAAAAAAAAAAAUAAAAAACGCUUUUGGAUCCUUUAUUUUUAAGAGUGUGCAACCCUUCA